rnacentral:misc_RNA from 1 species
CAAAAAAUGGCGUUUUGGUGGUACCUCUUAGAAAAUACCAAUUUUAAACAAUAGUAGGCUAUUUCUCGUCUUCAGAAAAAUAUGCUUAAGUAAAGGAAGUUCAUAUUUAUAUCUCAGAAUAUGUCGUUGUUGAAAAAAGGAGAGGAGGAGACAAACUCCAUAGCUCAUUUUGAAAACUUACCAGAUGUCAUACUCUUCAAAAUAUUCAGCUAUCUGUACAUUGGAGAUCUAUGUCGGGCUGGGAGAGUAUGUUUAAGAUGGUACCAAUUAACAAGAUGUCAAGUGCUAUGGAAACAUGUUGAUGCUCAUGAUAUGCAACUGACAUCAUACCAGGUUCAGAAACUUGUUCCAAUCCUCCCCCCUUGUGUUAUAUAUCUUAGAAUAUGUAGUCUUUCUACACAACAGAGAAUUCCAUUUCUUGCACCACAUACGGCCAUUGAAAUAAGAGAAAGAUGUCCACAUUUAAAAACUCUCAUUAUCGAAAGUGCAUUUAUUGCAAAACACAUUAAUUUCACUGAUAUAACAGUUGAAGAUCUUCCACAGAAAUUGUCUGUGUUGUCACUACGAAAAUCAUUUUUUCAUACUGAUCAGUUCUUUUGUAGUGUUAGUCAUCCUACAGUGCCCAAAAUCAAAGUGCUAGACUGUAGCUCUUGCUGGUGUGUGUCUGAUAAUGAUAUACCUUUCUUUUCAAGACUGAGUGACUUACAAGAAAUAUACUUAGCUGGCUGCCCAAUUACAGAUAUUGGUGUAGUUAUUCUUCUGAAAGCUGUUGAAAAUCUCAAAGUUCUUGAUUUGGAAAAUACUGCUAUUGGGGAGCAAACUGUGAUAUCGUUGGGUCAGAACUGCCACUCUUUAGAAAAACUUUACCUUGGAAAUACUGCAAUUAAAGAUCAACAUUUGUGUACAAUACAGAGUGCCUCUCUUCCAAAAUUGCAAACAAUUUGUCUUCGGAAAACAUCUGUCAGUUGUAUGGGGCUGAACUACCUCAUAUCAUCACUGCGCACCUUAAAAUAUCUGAAUGUGUCUACAUGCAGUAUCUCUUCCGAAUGUGAAUUGAUUGUUCAAGUAACCAAAAAAAGACAAUUGAGAUUUGAUGGCAGUGAUAUUGAAGAUAGUGCAGAAUACUGUGACCACUUUUUAUUGAGAAACAACCAAUUAGAUAGUUGAUUAUUCUAAUUACUCCUAGUUGAUAAUUUCAAGAUAUUGCAUGUAGAAACUUGUAUGGCAUCAGCUUAUAACCAAAGCCUUCAUUAUUUCAAAAUACAAAUGCAGCAAUCAUAUAAUUAUUUUCAUAUUUUAUAAUUUAAUGUUUGUCAUUGAUUAUGCAUGACGACAAAUAUAUCUGUGCUAUAUAAAAUGACCAUUAAAAUUUAUCAUUUAUAUAUUUAAGAUGAAUGGAAAUAGUCAUGUUGAACUUUUUGUCUCAUAUUUUUAUUAUAGAUAAUACAAUUUUAUAAUGAUUUUGAAUAGCUCUAAUUUUUAAAAAAAGAAUCAAAUAUAGUUAGACAAAAAAUUUUUUUUUACUUAAAAUAUUUAUUUUAAUGCAAUCUUAUUCAUGAUUUCAUAUAAUCAUCCUGUUUAAAAAACAAUUUUUGUAUAGUUCCGUAAAGUGUAGUAAAGAUUCCAGCUAUAUUAUAUUACUUAUUUAGAGUAGUGAGGUGGAAUUUCAGAAGACAAGAAGACCUAUCUCAUAUGUGUAAAUGAGAAUUAAAAUUUAAUAUGUUAGUAAAAUAAAAAUUAAAACACAUGAGAAAUGUUAUUGGGACUCGGUAACUCUCAUUAUGUGAAAAGCUUUAUAUGAUGUGUUAUAAUAAUUAAUAUAGCUUCAUUAAAAUCAUUUAUGUUUAUAGAGAUAAUAUAUGUGAUUUAUCCUUGCUUUCUAAAUAACCGUAAUGUUAAUUAGUUGACUCCAUAUACCAGCAGUGCUUUAGAAUUAACUGAGGUUGUUUUUUAUAAAACACGACCCACCAAUUAGCAUUCCGUAAAAUGGCUAUGCAUAUAAGGUGGAAUAUACUAUGUUUAAGGUGGAAUAAACUAUGUAUUAACUUUUGAUAUUAAUACAGAAACUAAAUUAUUAUUAUUAUAAAGUUGCAUAGGUGAAAUGUAUAAAAUGAUGAUUUCGUUUUAUUUAUUUCAGGCAGCUGAUUAAAUUAAGCAUAAUGAGAUAAAAUAUAUCCCUAAGUCAGCUUUUCAGAGUAUGUGUGGGUCCCCUAAAAGAUUAAGAAUUCCCUGAAUGAGUGUGCAAUGAGUAAGACUAUCAGUACUAAUAUAGAAGCACAUAGUGUCUGAAUUUUGAUAUAAAUUAUUUAAAAGUUAUUAGUAGUAUUGUUUGUUUAUUGAUAAAUGUAUACGAAACAUUUUGAUGAAAACUGUAGAAUUGGAUAAUCCUCUUGCAUACAAAGCUACUAUUUAUUUAAGUAACUGCAAAUGCUAAAAUAUUAGUUCAUAUUUUUUAUCUUCAAAUGCUGUAUUGGAUUAUUAUAUAUAAUUGAUACAAACAUGGACACUCUGCUUUAAUAAGAAAUCUCAUUAUUUCAAUUAGAAUACUCUAUAAUAAUUAUUUUACUUGCUAAAGAAAAAUUUACAUGAGCUUGAAUUAGAAAUUAUUUUUUGUGAUAUGAUUGUAUUGUAAUGUAGCUUAAAAACUAUAUUUGUAUGGAUAUUACCAUACUAUUUUAUAAAAUAAAAUUCAUUUUAUCUCCUCCAAAUAUUGUGCUAGAGUUAUAGCCCUAAUUAGUAUUAGUUUGUAAGCUUAAGGAUCAGCUUUAGUUUCUGCUUUUUGAAAAUGUACAGCUAUUUCUGAAGUUUAAAAUAUAUACGGAUGAUAAAAUGUUAAAAUAGAAAAUUAUUUCUUAAUAUUUUUGAUUACAUUGAAAAUUUUAAAAAUGUAAAAGAUAGUAUUUAUAUUAUGAUUUUUUAAUAGCUGUUUUUAGUUUCACAUGCUAUCAAUACAUCACAGAAAAAAUUCAAAAUGUAGCAAAAGCUCAGUAUAAAAUCAGUCAUUAGAUUGUAUUAACCUUAGUAGCCUACAGCUGUACUAGUUUCCAUAUUAUAUGUAUAAUACUUAGUGUAAUAUAUGAUAUGACUAAAUGAAGUAAAAUUCGAGAUAACACAUUUAAAAUAUUUUUUCUGAGCUUGGCUCAGUGAGUUGAUUGUUUCAUUCAAAAAAUGUAAUCGCAGCCAUCUGAUUGUUAAAUUACUGUAUUAAUUAUACUGAGCUAAAAAUUGCGUACAUAGAUUUGAAUUAUUUUAUACAUACAGAUAUCCAUUAUCCAGAAUGACCUAAAAUCCUAACCUCUGGAUCACCAGCAACCCCCCCCCUUUUUUUUUUUUUUUUUUUUUUGGAGGGGGCAAUACAUGCAAAGUUUGCUAUUGUUUUCAUAAUAAAACAUGUAAAGAGUCCCAAUUCUUAAUUUCACUUCAGUACUAAAUAAAAUACUUCCAUAUGUGAGAAACAAUAAUUUAUUAGCAUGAAUCUGUAUGGUUAAUAAUUUGGCUCUGUGGCUGCCUUUUUGCUUGCCAUACAUCUCAAUCCAAAACAUUUUGCAUUAAAACAUUAUUGAUUUUAUUGGAUGCCAAACUGGUAAAUCAUUAUUAUUUUCUGCUUUCAUUACUGCAACUUGAGAAGUCAUGCAGCAAUUUUUUUUUAGUAAUUGAAUGCCAAAGAGGUUGUUGAGCAAAGGUCUUUUAUGUUGACCUUACACUUGGCAAUGAUUACACACUCAGCUAACUCUGCUGCAAAGUGUUGAGUGUGUGGAAAAGGUGAAAUUGAACAGAAAUUUCCUUUCAUGUGCAAGAAAAUAGAUUUUGUAAAUGAUACUCAUAGGCUAAAAGAUUAUAUUUAAUGCUGUUUGAAUUGAGAAUAAUUUUAUUCAGAUAAGCUCAGAACUAAUGCUAUUAUUUUAAUAUACAUAAAUUAAAAAUUUUCAUCCUUUCGCCUGAUAACACUAUCUUUUCUUAAUAAUUUAAAUAAUCAGAAAAGGCUGUGUGAAAUAUUUUUUAUUUUAUUAAUUUAUGAAGUUAUAUUUCCUUUAGAUUUGUGAGUAGAACAAUCAACUCACAAACAUGGAUUUCUAUAGAUAUGUAUAUAUGUGUAUAUAGCAAUAUGUUAGGUUCUGAAUUCCUGAUUGUCUGUUGAUCUUUUGUGGAUUAUUUAUGGAUUAUCUUCUAAUAAGGGAGAAUGGCAACAUAUUAUCAUGAAUAAUAUUUAUAAUUCUUCCUCUGAUCCAUAAUUUGUUAAUUUCAAAGAGAUUGAUUCAUUAUUCCUGUUUUUAAUUUGCAUUAUAUGUGUUCAUCAAAGGUAUACAUAUCAUGCCUGUUAUUGCAAGAUUUGUUUCAUGUAAAUUAGCUGUGUUUGAGUAUUUAUUAGAAGUUAUUUUUUGUACAUCUUUUUAGCUUUUUACUGGAAUGAUUGCCAACUGCUGUUGAUUAAAUAGUAGAAGAAUGUUUUAACAAUUAAAGAAAAACUGGACACUAUUGGGAAAUUAGACAAAAAGAAAUCUGGUCAUAAAUCAGUCACACUGUUUUUCUUUUAAUACAGUAAGCACUGAGUGUUCAUAUGAUAGAACUUUUAGCUGGCAGUCACAUUUUCAAAAAUGUUAUGGUAUCGGUGAAAAGGGCUUGAAAAAUAAAAAAAAUGCAGAUUAUAAUACUAUAAAGUAAUUCUUUUGUAACUGAAUGUGAAGAUGAUAUGAAAACAUUUGAUAAUAUGAUUAAAAUUUUGCACUAAUUUUAUAUAUAUAUGGAAGACUCCCAAUUUUCCAUCACAUCUCAUUUUCUUGGUAGUCUAUCAAUUUGAGAACAUACUUAUGUGAAUUUAGAUCAUCUCUUUCAAAGGUAACGCAAAAUGGUUAUUGAUAUCUUAAGUUAUGGAAAAAAAUGGGGAUUUUCCUAUGUGUAAUGUGAAUAUGAGCCAGUUUCUCAUACAAAUUCCUCUAUGAAAGUAUCCCUUCCAUUAGGCAAUAUAGCCGAUUGUGCUUUGCUUACAAAAUAGUCCAAUCUAAUAUAAUCCAUCAGUACUAUAUGAUUUUCUUAAAAUAGCAUGAGCCCUGUUAAUAGAUAAAAAAUUUACCCCAAAUAUGCACAAUAGUAAAUGCACUGUUGUGGCACUAUUUUCUUAUGAAACAUCUUUCAAGACCUUGAUUUGGAAUAGUCAUGCAUAUCAAAAUAUUUACUCUUGUGUUCUAAUUAUUUGUGUUAGAUAUAAGGCUUGUCCAUUAUAUAGUCUGGAGACCACUGUCCUGUCCAUCAUAAUUUUUAACACAACACAGAUAUUAAGAUAUUAAAGCAAUUCCAAGAUUUAAAAGUAAAAACUAAAUUUUCAUUAAAGUAAAAUAUACAGAAAUAAGGGGGAAAUAGGAAUUGUAUGGCAAACCCCUUCUCCUGAUCUCCAGAUAAGUGCCAAACAAAUGUGUGACAGGUUCACCAAACCAUCAUAACGAUUAAAUCAAAUUUUGUAAGGUAUUGAUUUAUUAAUUCUAAUGGAAGUUUCUAAAUAUAAAAAUAUGAGCUUAAGACAUCAUAAGCACUUUCAGUUUAAUUUAUAUCUGAAAUUUCCAUCUACUGUAUGCUAAGACUUUAUGCAGACAACAUAUAAUGAAAAAAGUUUGUUCUACUAUCAAUUUGCAGUUUCCCAUUGAACUCAAAAAGAAUUCAAAGCUUUUUUUAGAGAAUAAUGAUAGGUUAUUAUGAGAUAAUUUUUUAAUUUUUUAUUUGAAAACAUA